UACGUAGGGUGCGAGCGUUGUCCGGAAUUACUAGGCGUAAAGGGCAGGCAGGCGGAUCCAUAAGUUUAUCGUUUAAGGCGUCGGCUUAACCGGCGUAGGGCGGUAGAUACUGUGGAUCUGGAAUGCGGUUGGGGAAGACAGAAUUCCUGGUGUAGCGGUGGAAUGCGCAGAGAUCAGGAGGAAUACCGAAGGCGAAGGCAGUCUUCCAAGCCGUUAUUGACGCUCAACUGCGAAGGUGUGGGUAUCAAACAGGAUUAGAUACCCUGGUAGUCCCU
rnacentral:rRNA from 1 species